UGCCAUACCAAAGGAUAUGUAAAUGAUAAAAUCAAAUCAAUCACAGAACUAAGAGUCUCUUAAUGCUUUCAAAAAAUAAGUCAGGAGAUGGAAGAAAAGGACAAUUAAUUUGAUCAACUCGAAGCCACAACUGAGAUGCUGAUACAGUACAAGAAUUCUAAAGAAAAUUUUUACUAUUAUAUGAAUAAAAUGCCAAAUAAAUUAGCUUAUUUUGAUAUAUCUGUACUGUCCCAUCCCUAUAGAGAGAGAGAGAGAGAGAG
rnacentral:misc_RNA from 1 species